UGGGGAAUAUUGCACAAUGGCGAAAGCCUGAUGCAGCGACGCCGCGUGAGGGAUGACGGCCUUCGGGUUGUAAACCUCUUUCAGCAGGGAAGAAGCGAAAGUGACGGUACCUGCAGAAGAAGCGCCGGCUAACUACGUGCCAGCAGCCGCGGUAAUACGUAGGGCGCAAGCGUUGUCCGGAAUUAUUGGGCGUAAAGAGCUCGUAGGCGGUUAGUCGCGUCUGCUGUGAAAACUCGAGGCUCAACCUCGGGCUUGCAGUGGGUACGGGCUGACUAGAGUGCGGUAGGGGUGACUGGAAUUCCUGGUGUAGCGGUGGAAUGCGCAGAUAUCCAGGAGGAACACCGAUGGCGAAGGCAGGUCACUGGGCCGCAACUGACGCUGAGGAGCGAAAGCAUGGGGA
rnacentral:rRNA from 1 species